rnacentral:rRNA from 1 species
GAUGAACGCUGGCGGCGUGCUUAACACAUGCAAGUCGAACGGGAAACCUUUUAUUGAAGCUUCGGCAGAUUUAGCUGGUUUCUAGUGGCGGACGGGUGAGUAACGCGUGGGUAACCUGCCUUAUACAGGGGGAUAACAACCAGAAAUGGUUGCUAAUACCGCAUAAGCGCACAGGACCGCAUGGUCCGGUGUGAAAAACUCCGGUGGUAUAAGAUGGACCCGCGUUGGAUUAGCUAGUUGGCAGGGUAACGGCCUACCAAGGCGACGAUCCAUAGCCGGCAUGAGAGGGUGAACGGCCACAUUGGGAGUGAGACACGGCCCAGACUCCUACGGGAGGCAGCAGUGGGGAAUAGUGCACAAUGGGGGAAACCCUGAUGCAGCGACGCCGCGUGAAGGAAGAAGUAUCUCGGUAUGUAAACUUCUAUCAGCAGGGAAGAUAGUGACGGUACCUGACUAAGAAGCCCCGGCUAACUACGUG